GUAAAAGCAAGCUGAGAUGAGGUGAGGGGGUGUUCCAAUGUGAACAGAGACGCAGGGUUCGGGCUGAGGGAGCCUGGGCAGUGGGGAAACCGACGGCGUGAGCAGUGCCGGGACCAGGGGCUAUGACUAAGGUGGGCGCCCCGCGUCCAGGAAGAGGACGCGAGGAAGCUGCACGAGCCUCCGGCGCUUGUCUGAGAUGCAGAAGUGGAUGACCGGGCUCCCGGGCAUAAAAUCAAAGUUCCGUGGAGCUUGGAGCUCUUAGACAGCGACGCUUGUCCGAGCUGAGAGCCCUCCGUGGUUCGAGCUCGCGCGUGGAGCGGCCUCCAGCGCUCGGUCUGCUAGGGUAGAAGCCCAUGAAGGGGGUCCCGCGGCGCUAGCUUUUGUACGGCCCCGCCUUGGCCAGCCGUGAGCUGACGCACCGGCUCCCCUGGGACGCUGGGGGCGUCGCACCGCAGCUGGGUGGGGAGCAAUUUAUUCCUCGCCGUCCCAUCCCAGCCCAUCUUUGGUUACUCCACCCUACCCCUCCCAUCCCUCCUCCUCCUCCUCCUCUUCCUCCUCCUUCUCUAACAACGCCCGCACUACCUUCUGAUUCUCCACCUCCUCUUCAUCCUCCAUCCCCCUUUUACUUCUCUCUCCCCCGUCUCUCCUCCCUCCCGCCUCCUUUCUCCCUCUCCCCCUCCCUCUCUCCUCUGAAUAAGCAAGCUUUUGCCUCUAAAAGUCACAAGUAAUCCUCGUGUGUGACAGAGAGAGAGAGAGAGAGAGAGAGAGAGAGAGAGAGAGAAACGAGCUGGCGGAGAGGAGCAGAAGGCAGGAGGGGAAAUCUGGCACAACGGCUGGGAGAGGAAACUUGAUGCUUCUGGGCCACCAUUUGCCAGGGCCUCGCUCGAGACGCCGAAAGAAGCCUGUUUGUGUGCUGCGGCCGUGCUGUGACUUUGGAUCUUGUCUUUCAGCCGGCGCCUCGGUUCCUGCCCAGCUGGAUUUGGGGGGCAGCAUUGCCUGGCGCAGGGAGAUCAAGUGAGUAUCGUGGCGGCCCUCAGGCUGCAGCUCGCCCGCGGCGCGAGGCCAGCAGUGCCCGCCGCGGCCCCGCGCCCGCACUCCUCACCUCGCCCGCUAGCCGGUGCCCGCAGAGUCCCGCUGCGGGCCGCUCCGAGGGCCAGUCCGGGGCUUUGCUUCAGCUAAUUGAUUGUGUGCCUCGGAUGUUAAACCUGUUGAUCUCGUGAGUUUUCUUAGCCAGUACUGUUAAUUAUCCAGCGGCUUGACCCCCAAUCGCAGAGAGAUGCCAGGAAAUCUUCGCGUUGGAAAAGGGAAUUUUUAUGAGACUGCAAAGAAGCAUAAAAUGAAUAGACAAUCCAACCAACCAAAGACCGGGGGCAGCAGCAGGCCAGCAAGACGGCAUCUUCUCCUUCCCAGCCUAGAAGCCCUGUGAAAUCGAGGAUCUUCCCCCUAAAACACAUACACACAAGAUAUGUGCAAUCAAGCUGCCACCGCUUGGUAAAAAGCCAUGGUGCCUAACCAAAAAGGAUCAGGAACAGAUCCUUGAAUCAGCUGUCACUUCUAUAGAAUGGGAUUUUUUUUUCCUUCCUCCUUAACCUGCGCUGGAAAUUGCCGUUGGCUUUAUACAUCUCUAUAGAGAGAGGCUAAAGAGUCUUGCGUGAGAAAGAAGCAAUUUACAAUGCAAAUAGAGGCCUGUGAAGGGACGGAUGCUGCUGCUCACUCGUAACAGCUUGCUGCACCUUAAUAGCUGGUUUUAUUUUCUGAUAUUAAUAGAUGAAUUGUUGGCUAACGCUGCCGGAGAUUACUUGCUGAAAGGAAAAAGAAAAGUUCGGAAUAAACUCUGAAGGCAACAGAUCUCGUUUGGAUGUUUUAGCCGCGCACACACACAAACAGAAACCAGGUCAUAUUUACAUAAAAGGAGGAAUCUUAAGCGCGGCAAGUAUCCUGGACGACCACUCUUCGGUACUGCCAGAAAGGAUCAGGACCUGGAGUCUGGCAAGAGGAAGACAGAGGCCUGUGUGGGAAGCGAGUUGUUAUCUUUGGUUAUCUAGCUGUAUGAGUGUAUUGGUCUUCAUAAAGCUAGAUAACCGAAAGUAAAAACUCCUUCAAGAUCGCCGGGGAGCGUGUGAGAAUGAAAGACUACAGCCGAGAGACAGUAAAAACCAGAAAGGUCAGGAAUACUUAUUGAAUCUAACUUUGUUUUUGUUUUGUUUUUUUCCUUAUGAUUAAAGGUGGGAUGAGAGAAAAUUAAAUGACACACACAUGCUAAAAUAUCAAGGUUCCAGAUAUGUCUUGAGAGGGGUUGUUGCAGCUGCAAAGGAGAAGUGUAUAGUGAUAAUGAGUAAAGAUGCAUGUGCAGUUUGUUCUAUUUUAAGGCAAAAGUUAUAUCAGGGAUUUUUUUCUUAGAAAGGUGUUGCAGAGAUGUCUGGUACCUAGUUUAAAAAUGAUUCCAUAAUAUGUAGACUUGGGCAGUUCCUUUGGGAGGCACCUCCCUCUCAAAAUUUGAAGAUUGUGCUUGGAAAUUACUUUACAUGUAUUUGGGCUGUAUGUCAAUUUGUACGAAAUUAGACUUUCAGAAAAGUUUAUACUGGAAGGUUAAUAAUUUGUAUCUACUGAGGACUUAGAGCUAGCAGGCAAAAUGAAAAAAAAAAAAAAAAAAGCAAGGGCUGAUUUUUAUUCUUCUAUUCAAAAUACAAGGACAGAUGCUUCUCUGUUCCAAGAGGGUUUCCUUGAGGAAGCUACUGAAGCAGAAAGACAUGAUGGAGACGAGAUCGCCUCCCCUCUUGUCAAAGUGUUAAAAAAAUGUUCUGUCUUACUCUGCGCCUAGCAUUGGAAAUGAAAGUGACAUUUACGCCACAACCCACGUGUGCGCCUCCUCUCUUUUUGUUUAAGGAUGAUCAGGUCUAUCCAGGAAACAGCUCUGGCAUCCCAAACUGAAAUAAUUAGGACGUAUAUAGACCUGACAAAAAUGGAAAGGGGGUGGGGAAUCUGAGGGUCUGUCUUGCCUAAUUGAUUCCGCUAAACGGAAUGCAGGAGAUGUGAACGGCAGGACGCUCCGAUUCCCACGCUCGGGGGCAAGUGAUAAAGCGGGGCCGGGCAGCCUAUGACAGACAGCCCUGUUGGGGGGUGGGGGUAUGAAAAAAACAUCAAGUGCACACACCAUACUCAUCUCCAUCGCUUAAGAAAGUAAAGGCAUUUCCCACCCACAGCCAUCUGCAGCUUCCCAAAUGGCAGCACCAACUGGUCUGUAGCUGCUACAUAGUCUGCUUCUGUUAAUUUUUUAACCACUGUUUAAUCUGGCCAUAAUUAAGUUUGGCUUUCUUCGUUGUUUGAGAUUUUCAGAAUUCAAGGCAAGCUAGUAGAAAGCAAUUCCAAGAAAGUCCCAUGACUGCCUGCCCCUAAUGUCAAAAUCUCAGUCCAUGAGAUUAUGGCCUUGUGACCACAUUUUUGCUUUUGUUUUGGGUGGGCAAAUGUGUAUAGAGAUAAAAUACAUAUCUCUAUAUAACAGUCGUUAUUAUAAUUUCAUGAGGCUUUUUACCUCUUAACAUGAUACAUCUAGGAACUUGGUCUAAUUGUGCUAGUAGAUAUACACUAGAAGUAAAACUAUAAAGUCAUUAGCCUGUAGAAAGUUGAUUAUGAUAACAAUAUGAUAAAAAGUUUGUUUUGGAAUAGUCUCAGCUAGAUGGGUCUAAAUAGCCAUUUUAAUGUAAUCUAAAAAUAACACUAUGCCUAGCAGAAACUUUGGCGCUUUGGAGGUCCCCAUUGUCGCCUUUUCAUAAAAGUCCUUAAGUUUUCCAUAUGUCACCAAGCAAACAUUUGUAUAGGCAUUUACACAGAAAUAUAACCAUUGCAAUUAGAAAAUAUCCAAAAUAGCCUGUUAUCUUCCACGUGGCCUAGAUUAUUGACAAUCCCAAAUAUACAAUUUUUCUUUAAAAGUAGUACAAUUUCCUUUGUAGCUUCAAUUCCUUAUAUGACUUCAGACUGGAGAAGCCUGUUAAACCACUGUUAGUUUCAGUUAGAAAGUCUGAGAGACUUUAUACAUAAAUUCUCAAUUUGGCUGCUGUACACGUGCCAGAGUUUUACUACUGUAGUGACCGUUGAGAAGACCCUUGUUUAUUUACAUUUGAAGCACUGUUUGUGCAAACAACCUUUCAUUGUUAAGUGCCUGUAUUCCUUUCAUUUACUUCAUGUCCAGGGGUGCUAUUUACCUAGAACCAUUGUCUACUACAAUUAACAUUUACAUUACAAAGUGUGUGGUUUUCUUUUUCAAGGAGGUUCAAUUAAGGCAAUAAGAUGUUUGCUGGAGAAACCUAUUGUUUACUGAAAGCACUCAAUGAAGUCAAAUUACUGAAGCUUUUGCCUACAUCUUGGUCUUUUAUGUAAAUAUGUUAAAUAUAACAUCUAAGGAAAAUAAACAAUAUUAUAAUUAUGUGUUUGCCAUUGUCAUAUCAAACUUGCUUUGUAUCAUACUAAUGUUACAUAACUUAUCGAUCAAUAAAAAUACAUUUCAAUGUUAUUAUUUUCAUUUUAUUUUUUGCUGUUCCACUGCCCUUGGUGCAACAUGUCCCAAUUUUUCUUUUUUCUAUUACACAUCAAACUUCUGAC
rnacentral:lncRNA from 10 species